rnacentral:rRNA from 1 species
UACGUAGGGUGCGAGCGUUAAUCGGAAUUACUGGGCGUAAAGCGUGCGCAGGCGGUUCGUUGUGUCUGUGGUGAAAGCCCCGGGCUUAACCUGGGAAUGGCCAUGGAAACUGGCGAGCUGGAGUGUGGCAGAGGGGGGUGGAAUUCCGCGUGUAGCAGUGAAAUGCGUAGAGAUGCGGAGGAACACCGAUGGCGAAGGCAGCCCCCUGGGUCAAGAUUGACGCUCAUGCACGAAAGCGUGGGGAGCAAACAGG